rnacentral:lncRNA from 1 species
AUAAUGGCAGUCCAUACUAUCACUGUAUAAUAUCUAGCUUCUCCGAGGUUAAAUUGUCUUGCCUCUCUUGAUAUUGCCUGCAAAUUUGAUCAAUAUAUUAAUCCUUGCUCUUUAAAGAGAUUGUCUAUAGCUUAAACAAAAUUAAAUCCAGUACUACCUUGUUUUCAUAUAUUUUUUACAUAUACAUAAUAUGUCUCAGUCAACUCAAACCCCCACAAUAUUAAUAUCCUACUGCUAAAGUCAAACUCACAACUCAUCACAAGCUUUUGAAGAAGAAAUAAACGAAAAAGAAUAGAAGUUUCAAACGAAUAUAAGAAAUCCUGAAAGAUGGAUUAUUGAUUGUUGGUAAACGCCAAUACAUCACUUAAAGAGAAGUUGAUACACUUGUCAUUUGAAGGCCUUAUGUAUCAAAUGGUGAUUAAUACUAAACGAGAGAAAUAUGAUUCUCCCUGUUUCAAGUUACGUACAGUAAUUUGUAUUAACACGAAAUUUAAAAUUAAAAAAUAAAUUUAUGAAACUAUGGUCUUAAACGUGUUAUAUAACAUUUGUCGGUUUUAAAUACUUUUCAAACUUGUAAUUUUAAACUUGCAUAAUAUUGUAUGGUUAUAAAAGAUAUUUUUUUAGGCUAAAACAAAAAAUUUAAAGUUAAAUACUUUCAAAUGUAUAAAUAUGUCCUUUAUUUAAAACGGAUCAAUACAAAAAAAGUUUUGAAUUAUUUACCUUUACACUAUAAAGUUCUUUUUAUGAGGUAAUCAAACUAAUGUAGUAUAAAAUUCAAUGAUAAUUAUCUUGUGAAAUGACUUAAUAGUGUAAAAGAUUUUAAAUUAAUGUUGCAUAGAAGUCAAACCCACAAUAGAAUGGUAUAACAAAAAUGUAAUGGAGAAUAAGAUGCAUGUGUAGCAAUGGGUUACGAGGGAAGAAAACAGUACCUGAAAAUC